rnacentral:rRNA from 1 species
GACAGAGGGGGCAAGCGUUGCUCGGAAUUACUGGGCGUAAAGGGCGCGUAGGCGGGAUGGCAAGUCGGUCGUGAAAUCCUUCGGCUCAACCGAAGAACGUCGAUCGAUACUGCCGUGCUUGAGGACUGGAGAGGAGACUGGAAUUUACGGUGUAGCGGUGAAAUGCGUAGAUAUCGUAAGGAAGACCAGUGGCGAAGGCGGGUCUCUGGACAGUUCCUGACGCUGAGGCACGAAGGUCAGGGGAGCAAACGGG